CCUACGUGAGGCAGCAGUGAGGAAUAUUGGUCAAUGGGCGCGAGCCUGAACCAGCCAAGUAGCGUGAAGGAUGACUGCCCUACGGGUUGUAAACUUCUUUUAUAAAGGAAUAAAGUGAGGCACGUGUGCCUUUUUGUAUGUACUUUAUGAAUAAGGAUCGGCUAACUCCGUGCCAGCAGCCGCGGUAAUACGGAGGAUCCGAGCGUUAUCCGGAUUUAUUGGGUUUAAAGGGAGCGUAGAUGGGUUGUUAAGUCAGUUGUGAAAGUUUGCGGCUCAACCGUAAAAUUGCAAUUGAUACUGGCAGUCUUGAGUACAGUUGGGGUAGGCGGAAUUCGUGGUGUAGCGGUGAAAUGCUUAGAUAUCACGAAGAACUCCGAUUGCGAAGGCAGCUUACUAAGCUGCCACUGACAUUGAUGCUCGAAAGUGUGGGUAUCAAACAGGAUUAGAUACCCGUGUAGUC
rnacentral:rRNA from 1 species